AAAAAUUGUUCCAAGGGAUCUCCAACUGCAUGCAAGAGCAACCUGGAGAGACUUUGACAGCCCAGGUCAGCAGAGUACCUGCAGCUGCCACUCGACUUUCCUUUAAAG
rnacentral:snoRNA from 1 species